GUCCAAGAUAAGGUUCAGGGAAUCUGGAAACACAUAAAGCCACGCCUGAUGUUGUAGUCAGCAACAAGCUGCAGCCAAGGUUUGUCUUUUAAGGAGCAGGUUUGUCAGCAGGUGUGAGCCAUUAGCGUUUUGGCCUUAAGUGGACAGGCCUGCCUCUCUUCUGCCUGACCUUCUGCUGUCUACGUUCUGCAGGAAUGCAGAAGCAUUUGUAAAGCGCUGGCUGGAGGUGUUGGGGAGAAGAGAAAUAUGAAUGUUGUGCUUCACAGUUGAAAUAAUACACGUGGCUGUCUAAAAGGGGCCCACCUGUAAGUUCAGGGUCUUAAAUUACCUGUCUGCACUGCUGGGAAGGGAGAACGGCAGCAGCAAGGAAGAGCAGGAUGGACGUGUGCACCAAGACAGAGGAGCAAGGCUGGGUUGAAAAGUUGGCAACCCAUUCCUGAUCAUGAGACUUUUGGGCCGAGAUGUUUGGAAAGGAGAGCAAAAUGUCAAGGUGAAGACAUGGGUUGUCUCCAAUCUAGUUAUGUGCCGAAGAGGGUCAUUCCUAUAGUGGAGGUUGUGAAGUGUGGAAGACGGAGGCUCACAGUUUCAGGCUUCAUUAUUCUAUAUGAAUUCAAAGUAAGUGACUAUCUGGAAGUGUCCUCUUGCGCCAUCAACCUGUUUACUGCAGCCCUGAGUGUAUAUUGUCCUACAGGGACUCUGACCUUUGCACUGUUCCACCUCAAAUUCCUGUCAUUCCAGAGGUACAGGAACGCAACAGCAUUCAAUAAACAGCUUCUCCGGAAGGAAAACAAGACCGCAGAAAGUAUCUGGACGCUAGAGGGCCCAGUGAAUUGGCACCUCCAGGCUGUCAGUAUUUUGCAUGGGGGAUUCAUCACUUAAGUGGAUGAAGGGGGUCUGUUGCAACAAAUGCACUUUUUGGAAAAAAGAAACCUGAGGUUUUGUAGUUAGGAAAAUGAUGGGGAGAGAUGCACCCAAAAUGGGGGAUAAUGAUCGAUCGUUGGGAAGACAUAUAACCUUUGCACACACACAGAGAGAUCAGGACGACUGCUCAGUGAAAAGCAGGAACCGUACAACCUCUGCACAAGCUUUGUGCAAGCAAAAUCAAAAAGAACACUCUGCCACCUGGCAGAACGAAUCCACUUAAAAAACACAGACUUUUUUGCGGUUAAGAAAGUGACGAGGAAGUGCAUUGAGUAAUGUGGAAUGACCAAAUGAUAACGGGAAGGUGUAUAAACGCCGCAUAAGCAAAUCAAGGUUAAUGUUCAUUGCCAUGCAACCUCCCCACAAAUAAAUCAGAACAAAUGCUCCAUGAAGACAGGACAUAACCUACCUGCCGGCUCGGUGGAAGCAAAUCAGUAUGAAUGCUCAAUAAACAGGUCAUCUGGAAAGGCUCAAUGAUACUUCAGUUAUACUGGGGUAGGGUGGGCUUCUGUCCAUUUUGGUUCUCCCAGUUUCUCAUUUUUCCAAUCUUAAAUUCAAUUUUCCACAUUUCUGCAGCAAUUUGUGAUUUAUUUAUUUUUAAAUCCUC